rnacentral:rRNA from 1 species
GGAUUAGAUACCCUGGUAGUCCACGCCGUAAACGAUGAUCACUCGCUGUUGGCGAUACACAGUCAGUGGCUAAGCGAAAGUUUUAAGUGAUCCACCUGGGGAGUACGAUCGCAAGAUUGAAACUCAAAGGAAUUGACGGGGGCCCGCACAAGCGGAGGAACAUGUGGUUUAAUUCGAUGAUACGCGAGGAACCUUACCUGGGCUUAAAUGUAGAACGACCGGUCUAGAGAUAGACCUUUCUUCGGACGGUUUACAAGGUGCUGCAUGGUUGUCGUCAGCUCGUGCCG